GAAAUGCGAUAAGUAAUGUGAAUUGCAGAAUUCAGUGAAUCAUCGAAUCUUUGAACGCACAUUGCGCCCCCUGGUAUUCCGGGGGGCAUGCCUGUUCGAGCGUCAUUUCACCACUCAAGCCUCGCUUGGUAUUGGGCAACGCGGUCCGCCGCGUGCCUCAAAUCGACCGGCUGGGUCUUCUGUCCCCUAAGCGUGUGGAAACUAUUCGCUAAAGUGUGUUCGGGAGGCUACGCCGUAAAACAACCCCAUUUCUAAGGGUGACCUCGGAUCAGGUAGGGAUACCCGCUGAACUUAAGC
rnacentral:misc_RNA from 1 species